AAAUAGAUACCCCGGUAGUCCACGCCGUAAACGAUGAGUGCUAAGUGUUAGAGGGUUUCCGCCCGUUUAGUGCUGCAGCUAACGCAUUAAGCACUCCGCCUGGGGAGUACGGCCGCAAGGCUGAAACUCAAAGGAAUUGACGGGGGCCCGCACAAGCGGUGGAGCAUGUGGUUUAAUUCGAAGCAACGCGAAGAACCUUACCAGGUCUUGACAUCCUCUGCCAACCCUAGAGAUAGGGCGUUCCCCUUCGGGGGACAGAGUGACAGGUGGUGCAUGGUUGUCGUCAGCUCGUGUCGUGAGAUGUUGGGUUAAGUCCCGCAACGAGCGCAACCCUUGAUCUUAGUUGCCAGCAUUCAGUUGGGCACUCUAAGGUGACUGCCGGUGACAAACCGGAGGAAGGUGGGGAUGACGUCAAAUCAUCAUGCCCCUUAUGACCUGGGCUACACACGUGCUACAAUGGAUGGUACAAAGAGCUGCGAACCCGCGAGGGUAAGCGAAUCUCAUAAAGCCAUUCUCAGUUCGGAUUGUAGG
rnacentral:rRNA from 1 species